UGGGAGGAGACAAAAAGGGAUGCUGAAAUGGACGGGACCUCCAGCUGCUGCUGCACAGAAUAGGGAGAUCAGCCCUCACACUGGCACUGCCUAAAACUAUCCACUUUAGUUUCCUCAGACCAAAACAGCCCAGGACUGGAUAGUUCUUACUUCUUCUUAUAGCAUACAUCCAACUGCAACCAAAUAAAAAUGACAGUAUUAUUCCUAAAAGUAGGACAGGAUAUAUCGUCUCCCAGAGUUUUCAGAAGUAGAAGUGCUAUUUGAACUGCUUUUUAAUAACAUCAGGUGCCCCCAUAUAAGUACAUAAUAUAAUAUCUUCAUUACAUUCUAGAUCACUUUAUGGCAACUGAAAGACAUCCCUACAAAUACGUAAUUUUUAAACAAACUACGUUAAGGAUUUUGUCUACCUCUCUGCUUGGAAUUUUCAGUUCAGAUCGUCAGUAUUCCUUCUCUGUAAUGAUUUAUGCACUUGUAAUUGUGUGUGAGAUAUAUAUUUAUAAACGCAUAUGCAAAUGUGAACCAGCUAAGCUAAGUAUUCUGUCUUGAACCUGACGGGCUGUUUGAUUUUGUUUAAGAAGGCUCAUGUUUGCUGUUACAGAAUGCCUAGGCAUCCCUGUCAAGAAGCAAGGCUCACUGGGUUAUGCAAUGUCCUGGCACGUUAAGAAGUCAUUACCUCCUCCUACACACAGUUCACAAGACACAAUGCAACAGGUGGAUGAAAGACAUGUUAUGUGGGGGUGUUUUGGAAAAAUGAGGCAACAACAAACCAAAGAGGACAGUGGAAAAGCAGCAGUCAUUUCGCCACCUGCUUUUACUGGCUCAUGUUCCUUGUGGUCUGUUUCCCAAUCCUGCUCCACGUGGCAGAGAUUUGUGCGGCAGUCGGACGGCAACACAAAUGAGUGCCAUCAAAACCACAAGCGGUGCCUUUGCUGAAAUUGCCGCUACGGGUCUGCUGUAAUUCCUACAACCAAGCAGUCAUCUGCAUCACAGUGAAAAAG